rnacentral:rRNA from 1 species
CCUACGGGUGGCAGCAGUGGGGAAUAUUGCGCAAUGGGCGAAAGCCUGACGCAGCGACGCCGCGUGAGGGAUGAAGGUCUUCGGAUCGUAAACCUCUGUCAGCAGGGAAGAACGGUCACUGUGCUAAUCAGCAGUGAAUUGACGGUACCUGCAAAGGAAGCACCGGCUAACUCCGUGCCAGCAGCCGCGGUAAUACGGAGGGUGCGAGCGUUAAUCGGAAUUACUGGGCGUAAAGCGCUCGUAGGCGGUAUGUCAAGUCAAGGGUGAAAUCCCCGCGCUCAACGUGGGAACUGCCUUUGAAACUGGCAAACUGGAGUGUGUGAGAGGAUAGUAGAAUUCCAGGGGUAGGAGUGAAAUGCGUAGAUAUCUGGAGGAACAUCAGUGGCGAAGGCGACUAUCUGGCACAUAACUGACGCUGAGGAGCGAAAGCGUGGGUAGCAAACAGGAUUAGAUACCCGAGUAGUC